rnacentral:tRNA from 1 species
UUUUGAAUGGCUGAAUUGUAAGCGAGAAGUUGUAAACUUCCAUAUGAGUUUUCUCUUCAUUAA